rnacentral:rRNA from 1 species
AUUGAACGCUGGCGGCAGGCCUAACACAUGCAAGUCGAACGGUAACAGGAAACAGCUUGCUGUUUCGCUGACGAGUGGCGGACGGGUGAGUAAUGUCUGGGAAACUGCCUGAUGGAGGGGGAUAACUACUGGAAACGGUAGCUAAUACCGCAUAACGUCGCAAGACCAAAGAGGGGGACCUUCGGGCCUCUUGCCAUCGGAUGUGCCCAGAUGGGAUUAGCUAGUAGGUGGGGUAACGGCUCACCUAGGCGACGAUCCCUAGCUGGUCUGAGAGGAUGACCCGCAACACGGGAACAGAGACAGGGUCGAGACUCCGAGGGGGGACAGCGGGGGGGAAUAUUGAAGAAGGGGCGCAAGCCGAAUGCAGCGAGGCCGGGGUUAUGAAGAAGGCCUUGGGGUUGAAAAGUACUUUCGGGGGGGAAGAAGGGAAAAAGUUAAAUCCUUUGUCUCAUGCAGGCACCCGGAAAAAGAAGCACGGGCAACCCCCGCC